rnacentral:rRNA from 1 species
UGGGGAAUUUUGGACAAUGGGCGAAAGCCUGAUCCAGCCAUGCCGCGUGAGUGAAGAAGGCCUUCGGGUUGUAAAGCUCUUUUCGUCGGAAAAAAAGAGUUGCAAUGAAUAAUUGUGAUUUAUGACGGUACCGACAGAAAAAGCACCAGCUAACUACGUGCCAGCAGCCGCGGUAAUACGUAGGGUGCGAGCGUUAAUCGGAAUUACUGGGCGGAAAGAGUGCGCAGGCGGUCUUGCAAGUCAGAUGUGAAAGCCCCGGGCUUAACCUGGGAAUUGCGUUUGAAACUACAAGACUAGAGUGCAGCAGAGGGGAGUGGAAUUCCAUGUGUAGCAGUGAAAUGCGUAGAGAUGUGGAAGAACACCGAUGGCGAAGGCAGCUCCCUGGGUGGACACUGACGCUCCUGCACGAAAGCGU